GGGGAUCUAGCUCAGGGGCAUAAGCACCUGCCUUGCAAGCAGGAAGUCGUGAGUUCGAUCCCUG
rnacentral:tRNA from 1 species